GCCGAUCCAAAGGCCUGGCAUAGGAGUGAUCCCGAGCCAUCUGUACUAUCAAGAUCAUGAUCAAGAUCAAUCUAGAUACAGGAUAUUUGGGUAGGAUCACUCUGCCUGGCACUCAGGUUUCACCAGGCCAAAGUAGACAACGCAUUUGUCAAAACGGUGAGACGGAGCCAUGUUUGCUGCAAUCAAGGAGGCCCUGGGCACCUCUGUCUUGGAGGGCACAGGGAGGGGUGGCGGUGGCUGCAUCAAUGAGGGGGAGGUGUACCGCACUGACACUGGGAAGGUGUUUCUGAAAAAGAAUUCAAAAGAAAAGGCACGGGAGAUGUUUGAUGGAGAGUAUGAAGGCUUGAAGGCAAUUCAGGCCACUGGCACAGUGCGUGUUCCUAUGCCUUACCUGGCCUUGGACAAUCCCACAGGUGGAGCAGUGUUGGUAAUGGAGUACCUCAACAUGCAGGGACUUAAGCAGAAGUCAGGUCAGCUUGGGACUCAAUUAGCCAGGCUACACCUCCACAAUCUUGCAGCAAGAGACACAAAAGUGGGAGGCACUGUGGGCAGAGGCUCUUCUAGCUAUGUGGAACAGUUUGGAUUUUCUAUCAACACUUGCUGUGGUUACAUUGCCCAGGACAAUAUCUGGACUGAUGACUGGCUGGUAUUUUACUCAAGAAAGCUGGACUUUCAGCUAUCCUUAAUUCAGAAAGAGUAUGGAGAUCGAGAAGCGAAUGAAUUGUGGUCCCACCUGCAGUUGAAGAUACCACAAUAUUUCUCAGGUGUUGAAGUGUUCCCAUCCCUCCUCCAUGGUGACCUGUGGAGUGGCAAUGCAGCAGAGAUGGCAGAUGGCCCAGUUAUCUUUGACCCAGCAUCAUUCUAUGGCCACCAUGAGUACGACUUAGCCAUUGCUGCCAUGUUUGGAGGAUUCUCACGACAGUUCUGGGAUGAAUAUCAUGCCCUGAUUCCAAAGGCAGCUGGCUGGAAUAAUAGACACAAGCUGUACAAAUUGUUCCAUAAUCUGAAUCACUGGAAUCAUUUUGGCAGUGGGUAUCGCAGUGGAAGCCUGAGACUGAUGCGAGAUUUGUGUUCUUAGAGUGUCCUGCUUAAGACCCGAAAUGAAUGUUUCAGGGAGGUACAGUGUAUGAGGCUAGCUGCAUGCUCUGCAGGGAUACAUGGGUGACUCCUGGGAUUGGUUGCUGUUUGCCGCACCCCCCCCCCCCUCUCUCUCUCUCUCUCUCUCUCUCUCUCUCUCUCUCUCUCUCUCUCUCUCUCUCUCUCUCUCUCUCUCUCUCUCUCUCUCUCUCUCUCUCUCUCUCUCUCUCUCUCUCUCUCUCUCUCUCUCUCUCUCUCUCUCUCUCUCUCUCUCUCUCUCUCUCUCUCUCUCUCUCUCUCUCUCUCUCUCUCUCUCUCUCUCUCUCUCUCUCUCUCUCUCUCAUCUGAGCGAGAGACAGAGAGAAAGAGUGUUGCAUUAGUGUGUGAAAUGGAACAGGCAACAAGAUAUUCUGUGCAGGAGAGGAUCAAGAUUGUAGAGGUCUCCUUUUGUCCAAACUCAAUGACAAUUUCGGAGGGACUUUCCAGGGAGAAACGCUCCAACCUGAUUCACAAUAAAGCGCCUCCUGGACAAAUUCAGGGAGACGGGAAGUGUACAGGAUAACAAUGAAGGUCGCAGUGGCUGGCCACGGUCAGUCAGGACAAAAAAUAACAUUGUGACUGUGAGACAGCAUUUGGAGCAGUCUCCAAGGAAAUCUACUAGAUGUUUGUCCCUGGAGACUGAUCUUUCAAGGAGUUCAGUUAUAUGCAUAAUGUGCCAGGAUCUUCACCUGUUUCCAUAUAAGAUACAGAUGUUACAACAUCAGACCAAUGCAAAUAAGGCUGAGAAAUGUGCCUUUGGGCAAACCAUCAGUCAGAGAAUCGAAGACCAUCUUGAUUUCUUGGACUUUUUUCAUUGACAAGGCAAAUUUCCACCUUAAUGGUCAUGUGAACAAACAGAAUAUUUGCUUUUGGGCUAUGUGGCUCAGCCUCAUGAAUAUCAGUAUCGCCCACAACUGUUUGGUGUGCGUUGGGUCGUAAUGGCAUUCUCGGGCCAUACUGGUUCAAGGAUGCUGAUGCACGUCCAGUAACUGUGAACACAGAGCAAUACAUUGGACUAAUGAGAAGAAAAUUCAUCCCGGCACUGAGGCACAAGUGAGGAGUGGACAUGGAUACUGUGAGCAGGAUGGAGUAACUGCAUUGCUCUGAUGCUUCACUGGAAUACCUCCAUUGCUACUUCCCUGAAGACAGGCUUAUCUCCCAUUGUACAGACCAUCCUUGGCCUGCACAUUCUCCAGACCUGUCCCCUUUGAAUUAUUUUCUGUGGGGAUACCUAAAAGACAGGGUCUAUGCUAACAAUCUCCAAACUAUUGCUGUACUCAAGAAUAACAUUCAAACAGAGAUUAAGAGAAUUCUCCAAGACAUGUUGGACAGGGUCAUUAGAAACUUCAAUGUGAGAGUAGCCACAGUGAUUCAGUGCCAAAGAGCUUGGAUUGAGCACAUUAUAAACUAUUGAGCUGUGCUCACAAAAUGGUGGUAUACAGGGAAAGAAAAAUAAACCACACAAAACUUGCAUAUCUGUAAGACAGGUCUAUGAAAAAAAAAUUGUAAAGUUUUCCUUUCAAUAAUAAAGGCUACUUUAUCACAAA